rnacentral:rRNA from 1 species
GAUGAACGCUAGCUACAGGCUUAACACAUGCAAGUCGAGGGACCGGCGCACGGGUGAGUAACACGUAUCCAACCUGCCCUUUACUCGGGGAUAGCCUUUCGAAAGAAAGAUUAAUACCCGAUAUAAAGGAUGGGGAUGCGUUCCAUUAGGUUGUUGGUGAGGUAACGGCCCACCAAGCCUUCGAUGGAUAGGGGUUCUGAGAGGAAGGUCCCCCGCAGUGGGACUGAGACACGGUCCAAACUCGUACGGGAGGCGGCAGUGAGGAAGAUUGGUCAAUGGGCGCUAGCCUGAACCAGCCAAGUAGCGUGAAGGAUGAAGGCUUAUGGGACGUAAACUUCUUUUAUAUAAGAAUAUGUAUUAUAUGAAUAAAGAUCGGCUAAACCCGUGCCAGCAGGCGCGGUAAUUC